rnacentral:rRNA from 1 species
AAUACUACUGGGGGUAGAGCACUGUUAAGGCUAGGGGGUCAUCCCGACUUACCAACCCUUUGCAAACUCCGAAUACCAGUAAGUACUAUCCGGGAGACACACGGCGGGUGCUAACGUCCGUCGUGGAGAGGGAAACAACCCAGACCGCCAGCUAAGGUCCCAAAUUACAGCUAAGUGGGAAACGAUGUGGGAAGGCUUAGACAGCUAGGAUGUUGGCUUAGAAGCAGCCAUCAUUUAAAGAAAGCGUAAUAGCUCACUAGUCGAGUCGGCCUGCGCGGAAGAUGUAACGGGGCUAAGCUGUAAACCGAAGCUGCGGCAAUGCAUUUUAUGUAUUGGGUAGGGGAGCGUUCUGUAAGCCGUUGAAGGUGAGUUGUAAAAGCUUGCUGGAGGUAUCAGAAGUGCGAAUGCUGACAUGAGUAACGAUAAAGGGGGUGAAAAACCUCCUCGCCGGAAGACCAAGGGUUCCUGUCCAACGUUAAUCGGGGCAGGGUAAGUCGACCCCUAAGGCGAGGCCGAAAGGCGUAGUCGAUGGGAAACGGGUUAAUAUUCCCGUACUUCUUACAAUUGCGAUGGGGGGACGGAGAAGGCUAGGUGGGCCUGGCGACGGUUGUCCAGGUUCAAGUGCGUAGGCUUGAGAGUUAGGUAAAUCCGGCUCUCUUUAAGG